rnacentral:rRNA from 1 species
UACGGAGGGGGCUAGCGUUGUUCGGAAUUACUGGGCGUAAAGCGCGCGUAGGCGGACCUGCAAGUCGGGGGUGAAAUCCUGGAGCUCAACUCCAGAACUGCCUUUGAUACUGGUGAGCUUGAGUCCGGAAGAGGUGAGUGGAACUCCGAGUGUAGAGGUGAAAUUCGUAGAUAUUCGGAAGAACACCAAUAGCGAAGGCAGCUCGCUGGGACGGUACUGACGCUGAGGCGCGAAAGCGUGGGGAGCGAACAGG